UACGUAGGGGGCAAGCGUUGUCCGGAUUUAUUGGGCGUAAAGAGCUCGUAGGCGGUUUGGUAAGUCUGGUGUGAAAUCUCCACGCUCAACGUGGAGGGGCCACCCGAUACUGCCAUGACUGGAGUCCGGUAGAGGAGUGUGGAAUUCCCGGUGUAGCGGUGAAAUGCGCAGAUAUCAGGAGGAACACCAAUGGCGAAGGCAGCUCUCUGGUACGUGACUGACGCUGAGACGCGAAAGCGUGGGGAGCGAACAGG
rnacentral:rRNA from 1 species